rnacentral:rRNA from 1 species
AUGGUCUCCGGCACCGCGCCGGACAGCAUGUUGUACCCCACGUUGAUCACCUCCAGGCUCUCCAUGUCCCCGAUGCUCUCCGGCAGCUCCCCCGCGAACUCGUUGUGGCUGAGAUCCAGCACCUUGAGCUUCUUCAGCUUGCCGAUCUCCGGCGGGAUGCAGGAGCUGAUGCUGGUGUUGAGCAGGAUGAGCUCCACGAGCGUGUCGGCCAUGUCGCCGAUGCUCGGCGGCAGGCAGCCGGCCAGCUUGGUGUUGGCGAGCACGAUGACCGACGCUGUGGAGUUGGUCAGGCUCCCCGACGCCAGCGACACGUUGAAGCGGUUGUCGUUGGCGAACAGCGCGUCCAGGCUGAGCUGCCGGCCGAACACCGCGUCCGGGAGCUCGCCGUCGAAGUCGUUGAACCUGAGGUCGAGGUACUUGAGCGACGGCAGAGAGGUGAGGAACGACGGGAAGGCGCCGGAGAGGAGGUUGUUGCUGACGUCCAGCUCGAAAAGGAGGCGCAUGUGCUGCAUGGACGUCGGCAGCGUGCCGUGGAACCGGUUGGAGUUGAGGUGGAGGACCGCGAGAUCGGCCAGGAGGCCGAGGUGGUCGGUGAGGACGCCGGCGAUGCGGCCGUGGUUGAGGUCGACGCCCGCCACGGUGAGGAUGCACGGGUCGUCGGGCGCGGCGGCGCAGAACACGCCGGUGUAG